CGGAAGAUGGUGACAAGUUUACGAUUUUCAGUUUUACCAUGCAUUUUCAAAAUGGAAACGUGUUUGACAAAAUUGGAAUCGAAUUUGUUUUUUCACCAGUUUUGCAACAGUUUUGGACCAAUUUCCAAAAAAAAAAAAAAGGUGUUAUGCUUUCUGUUUAAGUUUUCUAUCUAUGUGAACGCUCCUCAUCCCUAUGCUGUCACAUACAGCUUCGCAUCCUCAACUCCAACACCACCGCUGUCGUCGACGAUGCUGCCACCUUCGAUGGACUUCCCCUUGUUGCCGCCGGAGAAUCCUUCGUUCACACCAUCCAGUUCUUUCCGGUGGUCGAAUUGGGCGCCUCACCGACGUGGUUGGAUUUGUCGUCGAAGGUCGGCGCUCUGUCAGAGUAGAGAAUCACUCCCCCACAAACACAGGUGAAGAAGAGUCAGAGAGGACUGCGGCCGUGGAACUCGCAAUAUCGCAACGUCAACAGAGCGUUGGUUUCUCAGUUUGGCUUAGCCUCGAUUCGGUUGUGCGAUUCAGAAGGGAUCUCGUGCGGGUAGAGGUGGAGCUUCACUUACUAAACAAUUUUUUUUUAUUUGUUUUUGCAGGUAUUACUCAAUGUAUGGUCAUGUGGAAAGACUAGCUAGGGAAAUAUACUGUGGCAUGUACCUCAGACACUGCCACCUGAGGAGCUUGUUAGGCUGAGAGCACCCCCAAAGAGUGAUGUACCAAUCAUUAACCCUUUUAAACUUCCCGCGGCAGAUGGUUUUGUCUUUGGUUUUCCAACAAGGUUGGGAAUAAACCCAAAAUGGUGAGAUGAUGGCUGUUGAAUCUGGAAAACCCCUUAAAGCAAGGCAAAAACCAUGUCGUCCUAACUCUACUGUGAAUCCAAAAUGUUGGGAGUGUCCUUUGACAUGUAACGAUAGGAUAAAUAUCUAUACCACCAAAAUCUUUUAACUGCAACACUGUUUUGUCUUGGAACCAAAAAGGUGUUAUUCAUAGUGACAAACACAGUGGCAUGAUAUUUGAACCAAAAAGUUGUCUUAGACAGGUAAUUUUUAAGAAAACAUGAUACCACACUUUAACUUAAAAUCUUAAAAUUUAGGUUUAUGGAUUUUCUCUUCACUAUGGUGUUCAACUUUUUCAAUUUUAUUCUAUGUGAGACUUCACCUCACACUUGUACUCUAAUAUUGUGUAAUUUUACAUGUUCUUAUUCAUGUUAUGUUA